rnacentral:rRNA from 1 species
CGUAGGUAACCUGCCUGGUAGCGGGGGAUAACUAUUGGAAACGAUAGCUAAUACCGCAUGAUAUUAAUUAUUGCAUGAUAAUUAAUUUGAAAGGUGCAGUUGCACCACUACCAGAUGGACCUGCGUUGUAUUAGCUAGUAGGUGAGGUAACGGCUCACCUAGGCGACGAUACAUAGCCGACCUGAGAGGGUGAUCGGCCACACUGGGACUGAGACACGGCCCAG